UCCCAGCAGUCCAAGUGGUGGCCACAUUUAUUAAGUCUAAAACAUUCGUAGCCGGUUUAGCAAGUUUCUUGUGAAAUUCUGUCGCUUAACGGGAGAACGUGCAAGAAAUACUGCUUUACUUGAGAGUGGGAGAUGUAAGGAGUACGGUUGAGGUAGCGGUUAAAUGUUUUAAUCUCAAUCGGACUAACAAUGGCGAAGGCACCUUACAAGAACAUUUCUGACGGUGAGGAAUGAAGGCCAGGGGCGCAAAUGG
rnacentral:rRNA from 1 species